AAGAGCGUUGAAUACUAGAAGAAAGAAGCGCAUAUACCUAAUAAGAUUAAAUGAAUACCUAAAUUUAUAGUCAUUUUAUUUCAAUCUUUCCA
rfam:Lupinus angustifolius cultivar Tanjil contig_17206, whole genome shotgun sequence.